rnacentral:rRNA from 1 species
UACGUAGGGUGCGAGCGUUAAUCGGAAUUACUGGGCGUAAAGCGUGCGUAGGCGGUUCCUCAAGUCCGUUGUGAAAGCCCCGGGCUCAACCUGGGAAUGGCAGUGGAAACUAGGGGACUGGAAUCUGGCAGAGGGGGGUGGAAUGCCGCGUGUAGCAGUGAAAUGCGUAGAGAUGCGGCGGAACACCGAUGGCGAAGGCAGCCUCCUGGGCCAGCACUGACGCUCAUGCACGAAAGCGUGGGGAGCAAACAGG